AGGGUUGUAGCUCAGUGGUGGAGCAGCUGCUUUGAAUGCAGAAGGUCCCAAUUCAAUCACUGGCAUCUCCA